rnacentral:rRNA from 1 species
UACGUAGGGGGCGAGCGUUGUCCGGAUUUAUUGGGCGUAAAGGGCGCGUAGGCGGCCUGCUAAGUCGAACGUGAAAUCCCCGGGCUCAACCCGGGAACUGCGUCCGAGACUGGCGGGCUUGAAUCCGGGAGAGGGAUGCGGAAUUCCAGGUGUAGCGGUGAAAUGCGUAGAUAUCUGGAGGAACACCGGUGGCGAAGGCGGCAUCCUGGACCGGCAUUGACGCUGAGGCGCGAAAGCGUGGGGAGCAAACAGG